AUGGUGGAGCUGCAGCAGCUGCAGAUACAGGAGGGGUGGACUCAAUAAGAGUCUAGACACAGAAUAUCCAGAAGAUGCAGAGUGUCAUGUUCCGGUGCAGCGCCAGCUGUUGUGAGAACAGCCAGGCCUCCAUGCAGCAGGUGCACCAGUGUAUCAAGCACUGCCAUGUGCCUCUGGGUCAAGCACAGGCUUUGGUCACCAGUGAGCUGGAGAAGUUCCAGGACCACCUGGCCCAGUGCACCAUGCAUUGCAACAACAAAGCCAAAGAUUCAAUGGAUGCUGGGAGUAAAGAACUUCAGGUGAAGCAGCAGCUGGACGGUUGUGUGACCAAGUGUGUAGAUGACCACAUGCACCUUAUCCCAACUAUGACCAAGAAGAUGAACGAGGUUCUCUUAUCCAAUGGGAAAUAAAAGUCUUUGCCAGUGCCCAUCCGGGCUGAGGGCAAGAACAUAUUUUUUAUAAGGAAUUGGGAAUUUUAGUCUUUUAGGCAAAGUUUAUGAAUGAAGAAAUUAAGGAUGGCCACAAGUGUAAGGCAUAUGUCACUUGCCUCCGGACACAAGUUCUUUUGUUUCAGUCCUAAAAAAUGAAAUGGAAAAAAAAGUGCUGCUAAAUUGGGUCAGAGAUAUCACAAGAGAGUUUUAGAGCUUAUAUUUCCUGUGGCCAGAGCUUGUCCUGGCAGUAAGGAUCUCCCCUGUAACAAGCCAGAGCCCUCCAAGGUACCAGACUCUUCUUACUACACAGGAACCAACAGGCUGGCAGGUUAGAGUUGGUGGAGUUUGAGGAGAGAUACUUUCUCUUUGUUGCCAACAUCCUGUUUACCAGAAGUGUCACCAUACCAUUUUCCAUAAGCUGUGAAACAAAAUCCAUGAGGUCACUUAGAGGGGAAAAAAAAGUUUUCUGGGUCUUUGUUUUCUUGGUUUUGUGUCAUUUAUACAGAGGCAUACAAGUUAAUUUUAAGAUGUGGAAUUGGGAGCAAGACUAGUUUGGAUAAAACCUUUGAAAGGUUCCUCGUAGAUCCCUAUUUCUAGUCAUCAAGUUGUGGAUGCACAUUUCUUAAAAUCAUUACAUGCUGCACCUUUCAGUCUGAAGACCACACAAAAACAUGAGAGGUGACGACACACUAAUUAUGGUUAAUUUGCAUAAUUACUGGCUGAUGGUCCCUGAGGCUGUGUGUAACAAAAUGACAGGACAAUCUUGCAAUAACGCUUUCCCCUUGAAGAGAAAGGGGUUUUGAUUGUGAUAUAUAGUAGAAUGAAUGCACAGUAAAAGAGGAGCAGUUGGCUACUUGAUUAUAACAGAGUUAUGAAGUACUGGAUUUGGAAAAUGUGGUUUUUAUAGGACAGAUGGAAUGAAAGCCUAAACCCAGCAUUGCCUACUUAGUCCCCUGAAUUAACAGGGCCCAACUGAGACAAACCCCUGACAGCAGGAAAUUCAAGGGAGAAAAAGUAAGCAACUUAGGCUAGGAUGAGCUGACUCCCUUAGAGCAAAGGAGAGGCAGCCCCCACUACCAGAUAACAUUUUUGCUUGGGGCUUUCACAACUUGCAAUGCUCCUGGCCCUGCAUGACACCUUAGUGUUUUGAUAGCAACCUCACUGUAUUUUCACCAGCUUAAAUUACUUGAAAUAAUAACAUAGCCUGUCCAUUUGCUGUUUCCAGGCUGUGAUAUAUUCUCCCAGGGUUUGGUUUUAAAAAUAAAUAAGGUUUAAUUUUCUCCC